AGCGAACGCUGGCGGCAUGCCUAACACAUGCAAGUCGCACGGGGGGGCUUCGGCCUCCCAGUGGCGGACGGGUGAGGAACGCGUAGGGACCUGUCGAGGGGUGGGGGAUAACCGCGGGAAACUGCGGCUAAUACCGCAUGACGCCGCGGCGUGACAGCCGGGGCCAAAGGCGAAAGCCGCCCGCCGAGGGGCCUGCGUCCGAUUAGCUGGUUGGCGGGGUAGCGGCCCACCAAGGCGUCGAUCGGUAGCUGGUCUGAGAGGGUGAUCAGCCACACCGGGACUGAGACACGGCCCGGACUCCUACGGGAGGCAGCAGUGGGGAAUAUUGGACCAUGGGCGCAAGCCUGAUCCAGCAAUGCCGCGUGGGUGAAGAAGGUCUUCGGAUUGUAAAGCCCUUUCGGCGGGGACGAUGGUGACGGUACCCGCAGAAGAAGCCCCGGCUAACUUCGUG
rnacentral:rRNA from 1 species